ACUGUGUAUGAUCGCACUGCGGGAAGCAGCCGCAGUCGACGGUGGUAAAGAUGUUAUCUCUGGACUCCUCGAUGAUGUUGCUCAUGGAGAACAGCGAAACUGUUGGUUGGCAAUCAGAUUAACUCAUGUCACCGGACGGGGCAGAUUCACGGUGCAGUUGCAUUUUUUCAAGAUGUACUGCACAUGGCACUUGUAAAUACACUCGGAUCGCGACUGGCCCAGACGUACAAUCUCACUCUGCAACGAUAAAGCUUGUAAUGGUUGCCCCAAUUGCACAGAAAGCUAUUCGCCAUCACCUCGAACAGACAGCGGCGCAUUUGGACUGGCCGGGCCUUGACGUCUGCCUCGGCUGUGAAGCGCAGUGGCUCUACGGGAAUGACAAUACGAUCCUCAGUGGAAUAGGCAAUACUGUGGCCCAGCUGCUGAGUGGGUUCAUGCACAAUCACCUGGAUUAUACGUAUUAUAUAUGUAUUAUUGUAUUACUAAAAUAAUUGAUUGCCAACUCACCCCCAGCA